rnacentral:rRNA from 1 species
GAUGAACGCUAGCGAUAGGCUUAACACAUGCAAGUCGAGGGGCAGCACAAGGUAGCUUGCUAUCUGGGUGGCGACCGGCGCACGGGUGCGUAACGCGUAUGCAACUUGCCCUAUACAGGAGGAUAACCCGUCGAAAGACGGACUAAUACUGCGUAUGCUCACAACUUGGCAUCAAGUGGUGAGGAAAGAAAUUCGGUAUAGGAUAGGCAUGCGUCCCAUUAGCUUGUUGGUGAGGUAACGGCCCACCAAGGCAACGAUGGGUAGGGGAACUGAGAGGUUUGUCCCCCACACUGGUACUGAGACACGGACCAGACUCCUACGGGAGGCAGCAGUGAGGAAUAUUGGUCAAUGGGCGCGAGCCUGAACCAGCCAAGUCGCGUGAAGGAUGACUGUCUUAUGGAUUGUAAACUUCUUUUAUGCGGGAAUAACAAGAGUCACGUGUGACUCCCUGCAUGUACCGUAUGAAUAAGCAUCGGCUAACUCCGUG